rnacentral:rRNA from 1 species
UACGUAGGGUGCAAGCGUUGUCCGGAAUUAUUGGGCGUAAAGAGCUCGUAGGCGGCUUGUCGCGUCGGCUGUGAAAACCUAGGGCUCAACCUGGGCCUGCAGCCGAUACGGGCAAGCUAGAAUUCGGUAGGGGAGACUGGAAUUCCUGGUGUAGCGGUGAAAUGCGCAGAUAUCAGGAGGAACACCGGUGGCGAAGGCGGGUCUCUGGGCCGAUAUUGACGCUGAGGAGCGAAAGCGUGGGGAGCGAACAGG